GAAAAUAAUCAUGCUCCCCAGCGAGUAAACUGCAAGGCCAAAAGGAAGUGGCGAGGAAAGAAGAAUGAAGACAAAGAAUAUGGAGUUUCCAUUGAUUUAGCCAAGUCCAUAACAGAAGAAAAGUGCCUUCCUUCGGAACUUCCAAUACAAUGUGUGAGAAUGGACCUGUUACAACUUGUAUUACUCGCAGGGUUCCCCCACUACCAAGAAUAGGGGUGGCCUUAGAAGGCACUCUGAAGCAAGAAUCAGCAAGUGACUGAAUCUAUGAGACUCGUAUUGAUCAGCCUCAAAAGAAAUGAGUCCUACCUUCUCGGUCUCUUAAGAAAUUCAUUCUCUUGAAAAGCAAUUCAAAAAGAGCUUUCCCUAAUACACAUUAGAUAAACAAUGAGAUAUCCUCCUAGCUUUCUCUUGGGAAACUUUCACUUUAUAUCUUUUCAAUUUAUUCUCAUCUUUUUUUUUGUUCCUUCCUUCCCUACUUUUAGGCUUUGUCGUUCAAAAGCUAGCUCGUAGAAUUUUUUUAAAUCUUUGUAUUCAUAUAUCCCUAACUAGAGCAUGAUCUUUUUCUGGCUGGUGGAUCCUCCCCAGAAUGUUUGCAUGUAUUAGGGCUCCAGUGAAUAGGUGUUGGUCAUGAGGAAGGAUGACCAGCUAAGGGAGCUAAUGGCUUAGACAGACACUGUAGAAUUGCAAGGAAUAGAGAUGUGCUCAAGAUACCUUGGUUGGCGAGGUUUAUUGUUGCAGAAACACACUGGGUGGUAGCCAGUCAACCAAGACGGCGGCCAUCAAUUCCUUACCUUUCUUUGUGUACAUGCUGCACCCCAUGACCAAAGGUAGGGCCUUUUUUCUCCUCCCUUGUAUUUCGACUGGCCUCAUACCUUGCUUUCAACAGUGAAAUGUAACAGUGGUGAAGUUGGACUUGUUCCAAGCCUAGACUUUAAGCCUUCUGUUUCCUACUUCUUAGAAGCCAGUCACCAUGCAAGAAGCCUGCCUACCCAGUAACCAGCUGUGAGAAGUCCAAGCUGGCUACACAAAGGGGGGGACACUGAGGUGCCAGACAGGUGGGUAAGGCCUGCCUGAACCUUCCAGCUCUGCCCAACACUCAGCUGAAUGCAGUGAAUCAGCCAGCCCAGCUGAGAACACAGUGAGCAGAGGUUCUGAUCCUGCCUGGAUUCCAGACCCACAGAAUCCAGAGAAAUCAUGUGACUUUAAGCCACUAACUUUUGCAAUAGAUUAAUGUACAACAAUAGAUAAAACACACAGAAAAGUCAAGAAAAUGUUUUUGAAGAAAAGUGAUCUCCGUAGGUUAACUGCAGUUGGUUAAUACUAAUUUAUUGUAUAUUUCAAAAUAGCUAGAAGAUAAUAAUUAGAAUGUUCCUAGCAUAAAGAAAAGACAAUUUAAGGUGAUGGAUAUGCCAAUUACACUGAUUUGAUCUUUACACAUUAUAUGAAUGUAUUCAAUUAUCACAUGUACCCUGAAAAUAUGUACAUCUAUUAUGUGUAAUAAAAAUAAAUCAAAACUUUUUAAAGAAUAAAAAGCGGUCGCACAUCUAAACAGGGC
rnacentral:lncRNA from 10 species